GCCUAUGACCAUGCCAGCCUGAACCUGCCCUACGUCUGAUCACAGAAGCUAAGCAGGGUCAGGCCUGGUUAGUACUUGGAUGGGAAGAUCUAGUAAGAAUUGCUCUAAGUUGGGGGGU
rnacentral:rRNA from 1 species